rnacentral:misc_RNA from 1 species
AUUUGGUCUUGUUUACAAGGCGGAACUUCCUAAUGGCAUAAAGACUGCGAUCAAGAGGCUUUCUGGAGAUUGUGGUCAGAUGGAGCGCGAAUUUCAAGCUGAAGUGGAAGCCCUCUCGAGAGCUCAGCACAAAAACCUGGUAUCCCUUCAAGGUUACUGUCAACACGGGAGUGAUAGAUUGCUGAUAUAUUCUUACAUGGAAAAUGGAAGCUUGGACUAUUGGCUACAUGAAAGAGUCG